GCUCAUCAUGAUAGAGCACUUUUUCAAUAGGCUCCCCAACGACAAGGGGGUGACGCAUUCGUAUGUCAUCCAUAUCAACUUUCGAUGCCAUUUAAUGUGCCUACAAUGGUGACCACGGGUAAUGGGGAAUCAGGGUUUGAUUCCAGAG